rnacentral:lncRNA from 1 species
CUUGAAUUAGAUUGGAGAGCCCCAUAGGAAAUCUAAAUAGUUGUGGAAGGGGGCGGAAGAUGCUUUAUUACAUACGAGGAACUCACGAAAAUCUCUGAGUGCUCAAGCAUCCAAUCAAUUGAAAUGAGGGUCAACAAAAAGAGAAUAGGACCUAUUAUUCCUACAUGUUCCAUUAGUAACAUUCCCUUGAGAUGUUACUGCAGAUUUUGCUUGUGUUUAAUUUUUCCCUUAGAAAUCAUAUAGGAAUUUCUUAUAAA